GCCACAAGUAGACAUUUUCUUUCCCGAAUAGUCAGAGAGAUUUUGUUCAGCGUCGCUACAAUGAAGUCUGGAACUCUGCUCGGCAUUGCUGCCUUCAGCCUUGUCUGCGUGGCGGUUCACCUUUUCGUCGACUGCGCUACCGCAGAGAAAGUGGUGGUCACAACGUGCUUCGUGGACAGAGGCAAAGAAGACUGCAGCCGUUACAAACCAGACGGAAAGACAUGCGACGACCUCAAGUGCGAGCAGAAAAAUCAAAUCUGCUGCAUGAAAGAUUGCAACAUGACUCAUUUCUGCUUGCAGGACAACGAUAUAACGCCAAGUCCAUGAAAACGUAAAAGUGACAUUCGGCUGUCGCCAAUGGCACCACAUGUAAUCCGGAAUAAAUAUUCACUCUUGGUUUAGGAUUUCA
rnacentral:lncRNA from 1 species